rnacentral:rRNA from 1 species
ACAUGCAGUCGAACGAGAGAAGAGAAGCUUGCUUUUCUGAUCUAGUGGCGGACGGGUGAGUAACACGUGAGCAAUCUGCCUUUCAGAGGGGGAUACCGAUUGGAAACGAUCGUUAAUACCGCAUAAUAUAAUUGAACCGCAUGAUUUGAUUAUCAAAGAUUUAUCGCUGAAAGAUGAGCUCGCGUCUGAUUAGCUAGUUGGUAAGGUAACGGCUUACCAAGGCGACGAUCAGUAGCCGGACUGAGAGGUUGAUCGGCCACAUUGGGACUGAGACACGGCCCAGACUCCUACGGGAGGCAGCAGUGGGGAAUAUUGCACAAUGGAGGAAACUCUGAUGCAGCGAUGCCGCGUGAGGGAAGAAGGUUUUAGGAUUGUAAACCUCUGUCUUCAGGGACGAAAAAUGACGGUACCUGAGGAGGAAGCUCCGGCUAACUACGUGCCAGCAGCCGCGGUAAUACGUAGGGAGCGAGCGUUGUCCGGAAUUACUGGGUGUAAAGGGAGCGUAGGCGGGAUCGCAAGUCAGAUGUGAAAACUAUGGGCUUAACCCAUAAACUGCAUUUGAAACUGUGGUUCUUGAGUGAAGUAGAGGUAAGCGGAAUUCCUAGUGUAGCGGUGAAAUGCGUAGAUAUUAGGAGGAACAUCAGUGGCGAAGGCGGCUUACUGGGCUUUAACUGACGCUGAGGCUCGAAAGCGUGGGGAGCAAACAGGAUUAGAUACCCUGGUAGUCCACGCCGUAAACGAUGAUUACUAGGUGUGGGGGGACUGACCCCUUCCGUGCCGCAGCAAACGCAAUAAGUAAUCCACCUGGGGAGUACGACCGCAAGGUUGAAACUCAAAGGAAUUGACGGGGGCCCGCA